rnacentral:rRNA from 1 species
AAUGAGAUAAAGAUUGUCUUAAUAAAAAUUAAAUUUGAACUUUAAAUUUUAAUAAAAAUGUUAAAAUUUUCAUAAAAGACGAGAAGACCCUAUAAAUCUUUAUUUUUUUAUAAUUUAUAUUUUUGUAUAAUAAUUAAAUUUUAAUUUAUAAAAAAAUUUUAUUGGGGUGAUAAUGAAAUUUAAAUAACUUUCAUAGAUUUUUUUAUAUAAAUAAAUAAAUGCUUGAUCCAUUAUUAAUGAUUAAUAAAUUAAGUUACU